rnacentral:rRNA from 1 species
CGAACGCUGGCGGCAGGCCUAACACAUGCAAGUCGAACGGAUCCUUCGGGAUUAGUGGCGGACGGGUGAGUAACACGUGGGAACGUGCCCUUUGGUUCGGAACAACUCAGGGAAACUUGAGCUAAUACCGGAUGUGCCCUUCGGGGGAAAGAUUUAUCGCCAUUGGAGCGGCCCGCGUCUGAUUAGCUAGUUGGUGAGGUAACGGCCCACCAAGGCGACGAUCAGUAGCUGGUCUGAGAGGAUGAUCAGCCACACUGGGACUGAGACACGGCCCAGACUCCUACGGGAGGCAGCAGUGGGGAAUCUUGCGCAAUGGGCGAAAGCCUGACGCAGCCAUGCCGCGUGAAUGAUGAAGGUCUUAGGAUUGUAAAAUUCUUUCAGCGGGGACGAUAAUGACGGUACCCGCAGAAGAAGCUCCGGCUAACUUCGU